CAUGUCCUUUUGAUUAUAAUUUAAGGUCUAAUCUGCUCAAUGAAUUAAUUAAAUAGCCGCGGUAUUUUGACCGUGCAAAGGUAGCAUAAUAAUUAGCUUUUUUAUUGAGAGCUGGAAUGAAUGAUUGGACGAGAAAACUACUGUCUCUUUCUAAAAAAUUGAAUUUAACUUUUUAGUGAAAAGGCUUAAAUGUUUAUUAAAGACGAGAAGACCCUAUAGAGUUUAAUUAAUUUAGGUAUUUUAAUAUUUGGAAUAUUUAUGUAUUUUAUUAAGAAUUAAUUUGAUUGGGGUGAUUGGGAGAUUUAAAAAACUCUUUUAGCUUAAAAUCAUUGAUUUAUGAUUAUAGAUUCUAGAAUUAUUUAAUUUUAAAAUAAAUUACCUUAGGGAUAACAGCGUAAUUUUGCUUUAGAGUUCUUAUCGAAAGUGAAGUUUGCGACCUCGAUGUUGGAUUAAAAUUAAUUGUUGGUGCAGUAGCUGAUAAAUUGAGUCUGUUCGACUUUUAAAAUUUUACAUGAUCUGAGU
rnacentral:rRNA from 1 species